UUCUCCGUGUUAUUGUUGUUGUUUACAGGAUCAUGGAUUUUGUUGUUGUUUACAGGAUUACGGAUGUUGUUGUUGUUUACAGUAUCACGGAUGUUGUUGUCUACAGGAUCAUGGAUGUUGUUGUUGUUUACAGGAUCCUGGAUGUUGUUGUUUACAGGAUCAUGGAUGAUGUUGUUUACAGGAUCACAGAUGUUGUUGUUUACAGGAUCAUGGAUGUUGUUAUUGUUUACAGUAUCACAGGUGUUGUUGUUUACAGGAUCAUGGAUGUUGUUGUUUACAGGAUCACGGAUGUUGUUGUUGUUUACAGGAUCAAAGUUGUUGUUGUUUACAGGAUCACGGUUGUUGUUGUUUACAGUAUCACGGAUGUUGUUGUUGUUUACAGGAUCAUGGUUGUUGUUUACAGUAUCACGGAUGUUGUUGUUUACAGUAUCACAGUUGUUGUUGUUUACAGGAUCACGGACGUUAGUGUUGUUGUUUACAGGAUCACGGAUGUUGUUGUUUACAGGAUCACGGUUGUUGUUGUUUACAGUAUGACGGAUGUUGUUGUUGUUUACAGGAUCAUGGAUACCCGCUUCACCAAAGGGAAGUGUUUAGUGCUGGAGCGCUCUCUGUCUCGGCCCAGGACGGAGGCGCGUCUGGGAGACAUGGGCCGGGGAGUGGGAGCGUCUCUGCUGGACCUGCUGGUGCUGCGGGAGAAGAACGGAAAGAGGGAGACCAAAGUGCUGAACAUCCUCCUCUUCAUCAAGGCACAGCUUUCUAUCACACUGUCUGAAUUCCGCUUCAUACACACUUCAUGCACACAUCAUACACACUUAAACACACUUCAUACACACUUCAUGCACACAUCAUACACACUUCAUGCACACAUCAUACACACUUCAUACACACUUCAUGCACACAUCAUACACACUUCAUACACACUUCAUGCACACAUCAUACACACUUAUACCCACUUCAUGCACACAUCAUACACACUUAAACACACUUCAUACACACUUCAUGCACACAUCAUACACACAUCAUACACACUUCAUACACACUUCAUGCACACAUCAUACACACUUAUACCCACUUCAUGCACACAUCAUACACACUUAUACCCACUUCAUGCACACAUCAUACACACUUAAACACACUUCAUACACACUUCAUGCACACAUCAUACACACUUCAUGCACACAUCAUACACACUUCAUACACACUUCAUGCACACAUCAUACACACUUAUACCCACUCCAUGCACACAUCAUACAGACUUAUACACACUUCAUACACACUUCAUGCACACAUCAUACACACUUAUACCCACUCCAUGCACACAUCAUACAGACUUAUACACACUUCAUACACACUUCAUGCACACAUCAUACACACUUCAUGCACACAUCAUACACACUUAUACCCACUCCAUGCACACAUCAUACAGACUUAUACACACUUCAUACACACUUCAUGCACACAUCAUACACACUUCAUGCACACAUCAUACACACUUAUACCCACUUCAUGCACACAUCAUGCACACUUAUACACACUUUAUACACAUUUCAUACACACUUCAUGCACACUUCAUGCACACAUCAUACACACUUACAUGUAUACACACUUCAUAGACACUUUAUACACACUUCCUACACACUUAUACACACUUCAUACACACAUCAUACACACGUAUACACACUUCAUACACACUUCAUACACACUUUAUACACACUUCAUAAACUCUACUGUACACUUCAGGAGUCACUUAGUAUAGUUUACAUUCACAUUUACAGCAUUUAGCAAACUCCUUUAUCCAGAGUGACUUACAUUUUUUAUUUCAAUUUCUACAACUGAGCAUUUGAGGGUCAACGUCCUUGCUGAGGGGCCCAGAAGUGGCACUUUGCUGGCCCUGGGAUUCGAACUCACAACCUUUCAAUCAGUAGUCCCACAUCCCUGUUCAAGGUUCAAGAAUUACUUUAAUACAGAGAAGCUAUUUUCAAACGACGGUUGAAGACCUUCUUAUUCAUGAAACACUUCAACUAGAACUUCCUUCCCUGUUUGUUGUAGGUUUAUUAAAAAAAAAACUGUGAACAGUGAUUUAGACUCAUAGUAUCUUAAGUCUGUAACCUAGUGAACCAGAGUUAAUGUAUCCAGUGAUAGAGACUUAAGCACUUCUGUACAUUGCUCUGGAUAAGAGAGUCCGUCACAUGCUGUAAAUGUAAAGGUGUCCGUGUGGAAGUCUCUGUUCAGUAAGGAAGCAGACAAGCUGGAGCAGGCCAACGAUGACGACAAGACCUACUACAUCAUAGAGAAGGAGCCGCUGGUGAACACGUUUAUAUCUGUGCCUAAAGAGAACAGC